rnacentral:rRNA from 1 species
UACGGAAGGGGCAAGCGUUGUUCGGAAUCAUUGGGCGUAAAGGGCGCGUAGGUGGUUCUGUAUGUCUACCGUGAAAGCAUACAGCUCAACUGUAUUUUGCCGGUAGAAACUGCAGGACUUGAGGCUGGGAGGGGCUGGUGGAAUUCCCUGUGUAGCGGUGAAAUGCGUAGAGAUGGGGGGAGAACACUCGUGGCGAAGGCGGCCAGCUAGACCAGUUCUGACACUGAGGCGCGACAGCGUGGGGAGCAAACAGG